CCUACGGGAGGCAGCAGUGAGGAAUAUUGGUCAAUGGACGCAAGUCUGAACCAGCCAUGCCGCGUGCAGGAAGACGGCUCUAUGAGUUGUAAACUGCUUUUGUACGAGGGUAAACGCAGAUACGUGUAUCUGUCUGAAAGUAUCGUACGAAUAAGGAUCGGCUAACUCCGUGCCAGCAGCCGCGGUAAUACGGAGAAUUCAAGCGUUAUCCGGAUUUAUUGGGUUUAAAGGGUGCGUAGGCGGUCGGGUAAGUUAGAGGUGAAAUCCCAAGGCUCAACUUCGGAUUUGCCUCUGAUACUGUCCGGCGAGAGAGUAGUUGCGGUAGGCGGAAUGAAUGGGGGAGGGGUGAAAUGCUUAGAGAUCA
rnacentral:rRNA from 1 species